rnacentral:rRNA from 1 species
GAUGAACGCUAGCUACAGGCUUAACACAUGCAAGUCGAGGGGUAACAAGAGGAAAGCUUGCUUUUCUUGUUGACGACCGGCGCACGGGUGAGUAACGCGUAUCCAACCUGCCUAUAACUAGGGAAUAACCUUGCGAAUGUAAGACUAAUACCCUAUGAUUUCCUUUGAUGACAUCAGAUUAGGAAUAAAGAUUUAUCGGUUAUAGAUGGGGAUGCGUCUGAUUAGCUUGUUGGCGGGGUAACGGCCCACCAAGGCAACGAUCAGUAGUGGUUCUGAGAAGAAGGUCCCCCAACUUGGAACUGAGACACGGUCCAAACGCCUACGGGAAGCAGCAGUGAGGAAUAUUGGUCAAUGGGCGGAAGCCUGAACCAGCCAAGUAGCGUGCAGGAUGACUGCCCUAUGGGUUGUAAACUGCUUUUAUACAGGAAUAAAGUUAGCCACGUGUGGUUAUUUGUAGGUACUGUAUGAAUAAGUACCGGCUAAUUCCGUGCCAGCCGCCGCGGUAA